rnacentral:rRNA from 1 species
AGUAACGCGUGGGUAACCUGCCUUGUACAGGGGGAUAACAGUUGGAAACGGCUGCUAAUACCGCAUAAGCGCACAGCAUCGCAUGAUGCAGUGUGAAAAACUCCGGUGGUAUAAGAUGGACCCGCGUUGGAUUAGCUAGUUGGUGAGGUAACGGCCCACCAAGGCGACGAUCCAUAGCCGACCUGAGAGGGUGACCGGCCACAUUGGGACUGAGACACGGCCCAA